GCUGUGAUGGCCGAGAGGUUAAGGCCUUGGACUCCAGAUCCAAUGGGGUCUUCCCGUGCGGGUUCCAACCCUGCUCACAGCG